rnacentral:rRNA from 1 species
UUAUUUUUUAAUAAUUAAUUUUUAUAUAAUUUUUAUAUAAUUAAUAUUUUAGUUAUUUAUAGGAAUAAAUAUUAUAAUAUAAUAAUAUUUUAAUAAUGAUAAAAUAAGUAUUUUAUAUAUAUAAAAUAUAGUAACUCGGCAAAUAUUAUUUUCGCCUGUUUAACAAAAACAUGGUCUUUUGUUUAUAUAAAAGAUCUAACCUGCCCUAUGAUUUAUUUAAAUGGCUGCAGUAUUUUGACUGUACAAAGGUAGCAUAAUCAUUUGUCUUUUAAUUGAAGGCUUGUAUGAAUGGUUGGAUGAAAAAUAUACUUUCUUUAUUUUAUAUAAAAAAUUUAAUUUUCUAGUCAAAAAGCUAGGAUUUUUUUAUAGGACGAGAAGACCCUAUAGAACUUUAUUUUCUUUUUUUAUAAACUUUAUAGAUAAAUAUAAGUUUAUAUAUUUUUGUUAAUUUUGUUGGGGUGAUUGAAAAAAUUUUUUAACUUUUUCUAUUUUUUACAUUUAUAUAUGUUUUUUUGAUCCUUUAUUAUGGAAUAAAAGAUUAAGUUACCUUAGGGAUAACAGCGUUAUUUUUUUGGAGAGUUCUUAUCGAUAAGAAAGUUUGCGACCUCGAUGUUGG